GGAUGUGAGGGCGAUCUGGCUGCGACAUCUGUCACCCCAUUGAUCGCCAGGGUUGAUUCGGCUGAUCUGGCUGGGUAGGCGGGUGUCCCCCUCCUCCCUCACUGAUCCAUGUGCGUCCCUCCCGAAGCUGCGAACUCGGUCCAAGAGGACGACCUCCCAGGAGAGGACCGGUCUUCGGUCAAGGGUAUACGAGUAGCUGCGCUCCCCUGCUAGAACCUCCAAACAAGCUCUCAAGAAGUUUGUUGCUCUUGGUUCCUCUUGCUGCUUUUGGGAGUCUUGCGGAAACCGGUUUGGCUCAGU
rnacentral:snRNA from 1 species